GAUGAACGCUGGCGGCGUGCCUAAUACAUGCAAGUCGAGCGAACAGACGAGGAGCUUGCUCCUCUGACGUUAGCGGCGGACGGGUGAGUAACACGUGGAUAACCUACCUAUAAGACUGGGAUAACUUCGGGAAACCGGAGCUAAUACCGGAUAAUAUAUUGAACCGCAUGGUUCAAUAGUGAAAGACGGUUUUGCUGUCACUUAUAGAUGGAUCCGCGCCGCAUUAGCUAGUUGGUAAGGUAACGGCUUACCAAGGCAUCGAUGCGUAGCCGACCUGAGAGGGUGAUCGGCCACACUGGAACUGAGACACGGUCCAGACUCCUACGGGAGGCAGCAGGAGGGAAUCUUCCGCAAUGGGCGAAAGCCUGACGGAGCAACGCCGCGUGAGUGAUGAAGGUCUUCGGAUCGUAAAACUCUGUUAUUAGGGAAGAACAAAUGUGUAAGUAACUAUGCACGUAUUGACGGUACCUAAUCAGAAAGCCACGGCUAACUACGUG
rnacentral:rRNA from 1 species